CGUAGGGUGCGUAGCGUUAAUCGGAAUUACUGGGCGUAAAGCGUGCGCAGGCGGUUUAGUAAGACAGGCGUGAAAUCCCCGGGCUCAACCUGGGAACUGCGCUUGUGACUGCUAAGCUAGAGUACGGCAGAGGGGGUGGAAUUCCACGUGUAGCAGUGAAAUGCGUAGAGAUGUGGAGGAACACCAAUGGCGAAGGCAGCCCCCUGGGUCGAUACUGACGCUCAUGCACGAAAGCGUGGGUAGCAAACAGGAUUAGAUACCCUGGUAGUCCACGCCCUAAACGAUGUCAACUAGGUGUUGGGAGGGUAAAACCUUUUAGUACCGGAGCUAACGCGUGAAGUUGACCGCCUGGGGAGUACGGCCGCAAGGUUA
rnacentral:rRNA from 1 species